rnacentral:tRNA from 1 species
GCAGUGGUGGUUCAGUGAUAGGAUUCUUGCCUUCCACGCAUGAGACCUGGGUUCAGCUCCCAGCCAACACA